ACUCGAGUGGCGAACGGGUGAGUAACACGUGGGUGAUCUGCCCUGCACUUCGGGAUAAGCCUGGGAAACUGGGUCUAAUACCGGAUAGGACGAUGGUUUGGAUGCCAUUAUGAAAGUUUUCGGUGUGGGAUGAGCUCGCGGCCUAUCAGCUUGUUGGUGGGGUAAUGGCCUACCAAGGCGUCGACGGGUAGCCGGCCUGAGAGGGUGUACGGCCACAUUGGGACUGAGAUACGGCCCAG
rnacentral:rRNA from 1 species